CCUACGGUGUGCAGCAGUGGGGAAUAUUGCACAAUGGGGGAAACCCUGAUGCAGCAACGCCGCGUGAGUGAUGACGGCCUUCGGGUUGUAAAGCUUCGUCUUCAGGGACGAUAAUGACGGGACCUGAGGAGGAAGCCAUGGCUAACUACGUGACAGCAGCCGCGGCAAUACGGAGGUGGCGAGCGUUGUCCGGAUUUACUGGGCGUAAAGGGAGCGUAGGCGGACUUUUAAGUGAGAUGUGAAAUACUCGGGCUCAAUUUGAGUGCUGCAUUUCAAACUGUACGUCUAGAGUGCAGGAGAGGAGAAUGGAAUUCCUGGUGUAGCGGUGAAAUGCGUAGAGAUUAGGAAGAACCCCAAUGGCGAAGGCGAUUCUCUGGACUGUCACUGACGCUGAGGCUCGAAAGCGUGGGGAGCAAACAGGAUUAGAUACCCUUGUAGUC
rnacentral:rRNA from 1 species